rnacentral:sRNA from 1 species
UUUUAGGUCUGGUCUCUGAUCUACGCAACCACCCUGGUGCAUUCCUGUUUGCUAACGGAGCACCUGUUGUAGUGUCGUCUGAUGACCCGGCUGCAUGGUUUGCAAGUCCUCUGUCACAUGACUUUUAUAUGGCGUUCAUGGGGCUAGGCUCCAUCAAUGACGACCUGCGAGUGUUGAAACAGCUGGCCAUGAAUUCUUUUAAAUAUAGUACGAUGACUUCUGAUGAGAAGAACGAAGCUUUACAGAAUUGGCAAAUAUUGUGGGACAAAUUUAUUGAUGACGUCAUAAAGAAGUAUCACCUUUAAUUCCAAAUGCUUGUAAAUCUCUUGUAUUUAAUAAUAAAAAAAAAGCUAUUCGACAUUAGAAGAAUACAAUGUAGAACAUUU